rnacentral:rRNA from 1 species
GGCGAGUGGCGAACGGGUGAGUAAUACAUCGGAACGUGCCCAAUCGUGGGGGAUAACGCAGCGAAAGCUGUGCUAAUACCGCAUACGAUCUACGGAUGAAAGCAGGGGAUCGCAAGACCUUGCGCGAAUGGAGCGGCCGAUGGCAGAUUAGGUAGUUGGUGAGGUAAAGGCUCACCAAGCCUUCGAUCUGUAGCUGGUCUGAGAGGACGACCAGCCACACUGGGACUGAGACACGGCCCAGACUCCUACGGGAGGCAGCAGUGGGGAAUUUUGGACAAUGGGCGCAAGCCUGAUCCAGCCAUGCCGCGUGCAGGAUGAAGGCCUUCGGGUUGUAAACUGCUUUUGUACGGAACGAAACGGCCUUUUCUAAUAAAGAGGGCUAAUGACGGUACCGUAAGAAUAAGCACCGGCUAACUACGUGCCAGCAGCCGCGGUAAUACGUAGGGUGCAAGCGUUAAUCGGAAUUACUGGGCGUAAAGCGUGCGCAGGCGGUUAUGUAAGACAGUUGUGAAAUCCCCGGGCUCAACCUGGGAACUGCAUCUGUGACUGCAUAGCUAGAGUACGGUAGAGGGGGAUGGAAUUCCGCGUGUAGCAGUGAAAUGCGUAGAU